rnacentral:rRNA from 1 species
GGGUUGUGAGGUUAAGCGACUAAGCGUACACGGUGGAUGCCCUGGCAGUCAGAGGCGAUGAAGGACGUGCUAAUCUGCGAUAAGCGUCGGUAAGGUGAUAUGAACCGUUAUAACCGGCGAUUUCCGAAUGGGGAAACCCAGUGUGUUUCGACACACUAUCAUUAACUGAAUCCAUAGGUUAAUGAGGCGAACCGGGGGAACUGAAACAUCUAAGUACCCCGAGGAAAAGAAAUCAACCGAGAUUCCCCCAGUAGCGGCGAGCGAACGGGGAGGAGCCCAGAGCCUGAAUCAGUGUGUGUGUUAGUGGAAGCGUCUGGAAAGGCGCGCGAUACAGGGUGACAGCCCCGUACACAAAAAUGCACAUGCUGUGAGCUCGAUGAGUAGGGCGGGACACGUGGUAUCCUGUCUGAAUAUGGGGGGACCAUCCUCCAAGGCUAAAUACUCCUGACUGACCGAUAGUGAACCAGUACCGUGAGGGAAAGGCGAAAAGAACCCCGGCGAGGGGAGUGAAAAAGAACCUGAAACCGUGUACGUACAAGCAGUGGGAGCAUGCUUAGGCGUGUGACUGCGUACCUUUUGUAUAAUGGGUCAGCGACUUAUAUUCUGUAGCAAGGUUAACCGAAUAGGGGAGCCGAAGGGAAACCGAGUCUUAACUGGGCGUUAAGUUGCAGGGUAUAGACCCGAAACCCGGUGAUCUAGCCAUGGGCAGGUUGAAGGUUGGGUAACACUAACUGGAGGACCGAACCGACUAAUGUUGAAAAAUUAGCGGAUGACUUGUGGCUGGGGGUGAAAGGCCAAUCAAACCGGGAGAUAGCUGGUUCUCCCCGAAAGCUAUUUAGGUAGCGCCUCGUGAACUCAUCUCCGGGGGUAGAGCACUGUUUCGGCAAGGGGGUCAUCCCGACUUACCAACCCGAUGCAAACUGCGAAUACCGGAGAAUGUUAUCACGGGAGACACACGGCGGGUGCUAACGUCCGUCGUGAAGAGGGAAACAACCCAGACCGCCAGCUAAGGUCCCAAAGUCAUGGUUAAGUGGGAAACGAUGUGGGAAGGCCCAGACAGCCAGGAUGUUGGCUUAGAAGCAGCCAUCAUUUAAAGAAAGCGUAAUAGCUCACUGGUCGAGUCGGCCUGCGCGGAAGAUGUAACGGGGCUAAACCAUGCACCGAAGCUGCGGCAGCGACGCUUAUGCGUUGUUGGGUAGGGGAGCGUUCUGUAAGCCUGUGAAGGUGUACUGUGAGGUAUGCUGGAGGUAUCAGAAGUGCGAAUGCUGACAUAAGUAACGAUAAAGCGGGUGAAAAGCCCGCUCGCCGGAAGACCAAGGGUUCCUGUCCAACGUUAAUCGGGGCAGGGUGAGUCGACCCCUAAGGCGAGGCCGAAAGGCGUAGUCGAUGGGAAACAGGUUAAUAUUCCUGUACUUGGUGUUACUGCGAAGGGGGGACGGAGAAGGCUAUGUUGGCCGGGCGACGGUUGUCCCGGUUUAAGCGUGUAGGCUGGUUUUCCAGGCAAAUCCGGAAAAUCAAGGCUGAGGCGUGAUGACGAGGCACUACGGUGCUGAAGCAACAAAUGCCCUGCUUCCAGGAAAAGCCUCUAAGCAUCAGGUAACAUCAAAUCGUACCCCAAACCGACACAGGUGGUCAGGUAGAGAAUACCAAGGCGCUUGAGAGAACUCGGGUGAAGGAACUAGGCAAAAUGGUGCCGUAACUUCGGGAGAAGGCACGCUGAUAUGUAGGUGAAGCGACUUGCUCGUGGAGCUGAAAUCAGUCGAAGAUACCAGCUGGCUGCAACUGUUUAUUAAAAACACAGCACUGUGCAAACACGAAAGUGGACGUAUACGGUGUGACGCCUGCCCGGUGCCGGAAGGUUAAUUGAUGGGGUUAGCGCAAGCGAAGCUCUUGAUCGAAGCCCCGGUAAACGGCGGCCGUAACUAUAACGGUCCUAAGGUAGCGAAAUUCCUUGUCGGGUAAGUUCCGACCUGCACGAAUGGCGUAAUGAUGGCCAGGCUGUCUCCACCCGAGACUCAGUGAAAUUGAACUCGCUGUGAAGAUGCAGUGUACCCGCGGCAAGACGGAAAGACCCCGUGAACCUUUACUAUAGCUUGACACUGAACAUUGAGCCUUGAUGUGUAGGAUAGGUGGGAGGCUU